AGGCUAUUGGCUCCACAAGACUGGCAGAGUAUACUGUAAUUCAUUACCGUCUUGCAACCCUGUCAGAACUCAGAAAAAGUGCAUGGCUUUCUACCAGGGCAAAGCUCUUAGAAAAAAUCCUGUAUCCUUGUGUCUUUCUCAUACACAAAGCAAGCUUAUCAACAUUCUCUGCACUAUGAGAGAGGUCUAUUGGAAUUUCCAUUUUAGCUGCCACAUAAGCUGUCAGCUGAAUGUGUGGUUACUUUCAUGUUUACCUGAAUGAACCAGGAUAUUCAGGCAGUUUAAAAACACACUCAGAUGUGAGACAGCAAGCAGCAGCAGACUUCAUUACCAGAAGCAGGGAAGAUACACACAGGCAAGAUCAAGAGACAUCUAAUGGAUUUCCCUCUAUUGAUUCAUAACAGCAAUGGCUUGGGUUCGUUUACCAUCUCCAUGUGGUUUUUGAGGGUCACAAUUCCUCUCCACAAAUUUUCAAACUGGAAAGGAGAGCAGAUUGAAAACUAAUUCCCCCACACCAACCAUUUCCAGGUGUGGGAAGUUCUGUGUAUGGAAUGCAGCUCUCAAUUGACAUGGUCUUUCCUGGUUUCAUUUGGUUUCAUUUGCAUACUGCCUUUCUCUCAGAAACAGGGAGACAAGAGCAAGGCUAAUGACAUCAAGAACAGCUUAAAGGAACUUAUGAGAACAGGAUUUCAGUAUGUCAACAAACAAUUUCAUUCCAAUAAAAGCUGUGUAAGAAGACUGUACGUGCAUACUUAUUUCCAGCAUCAAGACUGCUACAGUCUUCCAGGCUUUGGUGAGCUUGCAACAUUCUCUUAUGUCCAUCUCUUUUCAUCCGUGUGAGCUUCCUUCUGAAUCUGGCUAGUAUUCCAUGGCUGACAACCCAGGUAUACUUGCCUGGAAAUAGUAGACUCACUUGAAGUAGGCAUCAGGUAAGGAGGUGUAUUUCUGAGAGGACAGGUAUAGGGGUACAGGGUUAGGCCUUAAUCCCACACAUACAUACUUUUGAGCAGACCUAUUUUGGAUCUCACUGUGGCUCAGUGGCCUCAGCAUCUGCCGAUGACCAACUAUCCCCAGGAAUGGCCUGGCACUAACAAUCAGAGCACAGUGCCAUCUGCUGCAGUAACUCUUGAUGACAGAUGUCACCGCUGUUGGACAGUUACUGUCACAUGUGACAUUUCAAUUGUGACCUAAAAUUGAUUACCUUACUUUUUGGAAGAAGAAGAAAAGACCAGCAAAUAACUAUGCUAAUCAAAAUGUACCAGGUCGCAGAGGUCACCCUCAAACUGCCAAGGUAUGCAUCAAUUGGGCAACAAAACACUCUCCAGGUAUUCUCUCAGAAGGGCUGAAUCUCUACCAAAAAUAUUGAACAUA
rnacentral:lncRNA from 1 species